CAGUCGACGGUAACAGCAUCUUCGGAUGCUGACGAGUGGCGAACGGGUGAGUAAUACAUCGGAACGUGCCUAGUAGUGGGGGAUAACUACUCGAAAGAGUGGCUAAUACCGCAUGAGAUCUACGGAUGAAAGCAGGGGAUCGCAAGACCUUGUGCUACUAGAGCGGCCGAUGGCAGAUUAGGUAGUUGGUGGGAUAAAAGCUUACCAAGCCGACGAUCUGUAGCUGGUCUGAGAGGACGAUCAGCCACACUGGGACUGAGACACGGCCCAGACUCCUACGGGAGGCAGCAGUGGGGAAUUUUGGACAAUGGGCGCAAGCCUGAUCCAGCAAUGCCGCGUGCAGGAUGAAGGCCUUCGGGUUGUAAACUGCUUUUGUACGGAACGAAAAGCCCUGGGUUAAUACCCUGGGGUCAUGACGGUACCGUAAGAAUAAGCACCGGCUAACUACGUGCCAGCAGCCGCGGUAAUACGUAGGGUGCAAGCGUUAAUCGGAAUUACUGGGCGUAAAGCGUGCGCAGGCGGUUUUGUAAGACAGAGGUGAAAUCCCCGGGCUCAACCUGGGAACUGCCUUUGUGACUGCAAGGCUAGAGUACGGCAGAGGGGGAUGGAAUUCCGCGUGUAGCAGUGAAAUGCGUAUAUAUGCGGAGGAACACCGAUGGCGAAGGCAAUCCCCUGGGCCUGUACUGACGCUCAUGCA
rnacentral:rRNA from 1 species